rnacentral:rRNA from 1 species
UUUGGUUAAGUUAGAAAGGGCGCACGGUGGAUGCCUUGACACUAGGAGUCGAUGAAGGACGGGACUAACGCCGAUAUGCUUCGGGGAGCUGUAAGUAAGCUUUGAUCCGAAGAUUUCCGAAUGGGGAAACCCACCAUACGUAAUGGUAUGGUAUCCUUAUCUGAAUACAUAGGGUAAGGAAGACAGACCCAGGGAACUGAAACAUCUAAGUACCUGGAGGAAGAGAAAGCAAAUGCGAUUUCCUGAGUAGCGGCGAGCGAAACGGAACAUAGCCCAAACCAAGAGGCUUGCCUCUUGGGGUUGUAGGACAUUCUAUACGGAGUUACAAAGGAACGAGGUAGACGAAGCGACCUGGAAAGGUCCGUCGUAGAGGGUAACAACCCCGUAGUCGAAACUUCGUUCUCUCUUGAAUGUAUCCUGAGUACGGCGGAACACGUGAAAUUCCGUCGGAAUCUGGGAGGACCAUCUCCCAAGGCUAAAUACUCCCUAGUGAUCGAUAGUGAACCAGUACCGUGAGGGAAAGGUGAAAAGCACCCCGGAAGGGGAGUGAAAGAGAUCCUGAAACCGUGUGCCUACAAAUAGUCAGAGCCCGUUAACGGGUGAUGGCGUGCCUUUUGUAGAAUGAACCGGCGAGUUACGAUCCCGUGCGAGGUUAAGCUGAAGAGGCGGAGCCGCAGCGAAAGCGAGUCUGAAUAGGGCGUUUAGUACGUGGUCGUAGACCCGAAACCAGGUGAUCUACCCAUGUCCAGGGUGAAGUUCAGGUAACACUGAAUGGAGGCCCGAACCCACGCACGUUGAAAAGUGCGGGGAUGAGGUGUGGGUAGCGGAGAAAUUCCAAUCGAACCUGGAGAUAGCUGGUUCUCCCCGAAAUAGCUUUAGGGCUAGCCUUAAGUGUAAGAGUCUUGGAGGUAGAGCACUGAUUGGACUAGGGGUCCUCAUCGGAUUACCGAAUUCAGUCAAACUCCGAAUGCCAAUGACUUAUCCUUAGGAGUCAGACUGCGAGUGAUAAGAUCCGUAGUCAAAAGGGAAACAGCCCAGACCGCCAGCUAAGGUCCCAAAGUGUGUAUUAAGUGGAAAAGGAUGUGGAGUUGCUUAGACAACUAGGAUGUUGGCUUAGAAGCAGCCACCAUUUAAAGAGUGCGUAAUAGCUCACUAGUCGAGUGACUCUGCGCCGAAAAUGUACCGGGGCUAAAUACACCACCGAAGCUGCGGAUUGAUACCAAUGGUAUCAGUGGUAGGGGAGCGUUCUAAGGACAGUGAAGUCAGACCGUAAGGACUGGUGGAGUGCUUAGAAGUGAGAAUGCCGGUAUGAGUAGCGAAAGACGGGUGAGAAUCCCGUCCACCGAAUGCCUAAGGUUUCCUGAGGAAGGCUCGUCCGCUCAGGGUUAGUCAGGACCUAAGCCGAGGCCGACAGGCGUAGGCGAUGGACAACAGGUUGAUAUUCCUGUACCACCUCUUUAUCGUUUGAGCAAUGGAGGGACGCAGAAGGAUAGAAGAAGCGUGCGAUUGGUUGUGCACGUCCAAGCAGUUAGGCUGAUAAGUAGGCAAAUCCGCUUAUCAUAAAGGCUGAGCUGUGAUGGGGAAGCUCCUUAUGGAGCGAAGUCUUUGAUUCCCCGCUGCCAAGAAAAGCUUCUAGCGAGAUAAAAGGUGCCUGUACCGCAAACCGACACAGGUAGGCGAGGAGAGAAUCCUAAGGUGUGCGAGAGAACUCUGGUUAAGGAACUCGGCAAAAUGACCCCGUAACUUCGGGAGAAGGGGUGCUUUCUUAACGGAAAGCCGCAGUGAAUAGGCCCAAGCGACUGUUUAGCAAAAACACAGCUCUCUGCGAAGCCGUAAGGCGAAGUAUAGGGGGUGACACCUGCCCGGUGCUGGAAGGUUAAGGAGAGGGGUUAGCGUAAGCGAAGCUCUGAACUGAAGCCCCAGUAAACGGCGGCCGUAACUAUAACGGUCCUAAGGUAGCGAAAUUCCUUGUCGGGUAAGUUCCGACCCGCACGAAAGGUGUAACGAUUUGGGCACUGUCUCAACCAGAGACUCGGUGAAAUUAUAGUACCUGUGAAGAUGCAGGUUACCCGCGACAGGACGGAAAGACCCCGUGGAGCUUUACUGUAGCCUGAUAUUGAAUUUUGGUACAGUUUGUACAGGAUAGGCGGGAGCCAUUGAAACCGGAGCGCUAGCUUCGGUGGAGGCGCUGGUGGGAUACCGCCCUGACUGUAUUGAAAUUCUAACCUACGGGUCUUAUCGACCCGGGAGACAGUGUCAGGUGGGCAGUUUGACUGGGGCGGUCGCCUCCUAAAGUGUAACGGAGGCGCCCAAAGGUUCCCUCAGAAUGGUUGGAAAUCAUUCGUAGAGUGCAAAGGCAUAAGGGAGCUUGACUGCGAGACCUACAAGUCGAGCAGGGACGAAAGUCGGGCUUAGUGAUCCGGUGGUUCCGCAUGGAAGGGCCAUCGCUCAACGGAUAAAAGCUACCCCGGGGAUAACAGGCUUAUCUCCCCCAAGAGUCCACAUCGACGGGGAGGUUUGGCACCUCGAUGUCGGCUCAUCGCAUCCUGGGGCUGUAGUCGGUCCCAAGGGUUGGGCUGUUCGCCCAUUAAAGCGGUACGCGAGCUGGGUUCAGAACGUCGUGAGACAGUUCGGUCCCUAUCCGUCGUGGGCGUAGGAAAUUUGAGAGGAGCUGUCCUUAGUACGAGAGGACCGGGAUGGACGCACCGCUGGUGUACCAGUUGUUCUGCCAAGGGCAUAGCUGGGUAGCUAUGUGCGGAAGGGAUAAGUGCUGAAAGCAUCUAAGCAUGAAGCCCCCCUCAAGAUGAGAUUUCCCAUAGCGUAAGCUAGUAAGAUCCCUGAAAGAUGAUCAGGUUGAUAGGUUCGAGGUGGAAGCAUGGUGACAUGUGGAGCUGACGAAUACUAAUAGAUCGAGGACUUAACCAUCUAA